rnacentral:rRNA from 1 species
UACGAAGGGGGCUAGCGUUGCUCGGAAUCACUGGGCGUAAAGGGUGCGUAGGCGGGUCUUAAGUCAGGGUGAAAUCCUGGAGCUCAACUCCAGAACUGCCUUUGAUACUGAAGAUCUUGAGUUCGGGAGAGGUGAGUGGAACUGCGAGUGUAGAGGUGAAAUUCGUAGAUAUUCGCAAGAACACCAGUGGCGAAGGCGGCUCACUGGCCCGAGUACUGACGCUGAGGCACGAAAGCGUGGGGAGCAA